GACGAACGCUGGCGGCGUGCCUAAUACAUGCAAGUCGAGCGGGCCUCCGGAGGUGCUUGCACCUCCGGAAGGCCAGCGGCGGACGGGUGAGUAACACGUGGGCAACCUGCCUUUGAGGCCGGGAUAACACCGGGAAACCGGUGCUAAUACCGGAUGCGUCCCCUUUCGCGCCUGCGAGAGGGGAGAAAGACGGUCUUUAAGGCCGUCGCUCAAACGGGGGCCCGCGGCGCAUUAGCUGGUUGGUGGGGUAAGGGCCUACCAAGGCGACGAUGCGUUGCCGACCUGAGAGGGUGAUCGGCCACACUGGGACUGAGACACGGCCCAGACUCCUGCGGGAGGCAGCAGUAGGGAAUCAUCCGCAAUGGGCGAAAGCCUGACGGUGCAACGCCGCGUGAGUGAGGAAGGUUUUCGGAUCGUAAAGCUCUGUUGUGAGGGAAGAACAGCUUCCGGAGGAAAUGCCGGAGGUUUGCCGGUACCUCACCAGAAAGCCCCGGCUAACUACGUGCCAGCCGCCGCCCGUAA
rnacentral:rRNA from 1 species